UUCACCGAUGCUCCUCAUUUCUGAUUUUGAAUCUAUUUAUAGGGACGUCUGCCAUUGCAUUUCAUCUGUAUUUGAAUUUCAUUUUCUUUUCUUGAAUUGUGGCCGACAUCUUUUUUCAAAAGUCAUUUGGGUCUUGUCCGCAUGAUCCACCAAAGGGAUCAAAAGUGGAUUCGGAUGAUCCAGCUGACUGCUCAAUUUUGUCAGUUUCUUCUUUCUUAUCUUGCUUUUGCAAAUAAUUCAAAUAUUCUUUGAGCAUCUCGGGAUUCUGCAUCAUUUGCUUUAUCAGAAAGUUGCUUGCAAUUUCCUCGGAUGCCAUAUCUGUCAUCUUUUCUUUAUCCUUCUUUGGAGUGGUUGGAGUAGGUGUAGUGGUUGGAAUAGUAGUUGGCUGUCUUGUCCUCUUUGGAGUAGUUGUUGAAGUAGUGGUUGGCUGAUUUGUCCAUUUUAGUUUGUCUCCAGUAGUCAAGAAUCUUAUCACAUUGGUUUGAUCUCCAAAUUCUUGAUUGAAUCCAGUCCACCAUUUGAUUUUG
rnacentral:lncRNA from 1 species